AGGACGAACGCUGGCGGCGUGCCUAAUGCAUGCAAGUCGCACGCAGGGUGCUUGCACUCUGAGUGGCGCACGGCUGAGGAUCACGUGGGAACAUGCCUCCUUGUGGGGGACAACAGCGCGAAAGCGCUGCUAAUCCCGCAUACGCUCGGGCAACCGAGGAAAGCGUGUAAACGCGCAGGGAGAGUGGCCCGCGGCCCAUCAGGUCGUAGGUGGGGUAAUGGCCUACCUAGCCGAUGACGGGUAGCUGGUCUGUGAGGACAGACAGCCAGACUGGGACUGAGACACGGCCCAGACUCCGUACGGGAGGCAGCAGCAAGGAAUUUUCGACAAUGGGCUAACGCCUGAACGAGCAACGCCGCGUGGAGGGCGACGGCCGUUCGGUUGUAAACGUCCGUUUUGGCGGGACGAUAAGUGACCGGUACCCGCGAAGUAA
rnacentral:rRNA from 1 species